rnacentral:rRNA from 1 species
AGUGAACGCUGGCGGUAGGCCUAACACAUGCAAGUCGAACGGCAGCACAGUAAGAGCUUGCUCUUACGGGUGGCGAGUGGCGGACGGGUGAGGAAUACAUCGGAAUCUACUUUUUCGUGGGGGAUAACGUAGGGAAACUUACGCUAAUACCGCAUACGACCUACGGGUGAAAGCAGGGGAUCUUCGGACCUUGCGCGAUUGAAUGAGCCGAUGUCGGAUUAGCUAGUUGGCGGGGUAAAGGCCCACCAAGGCGACGAUCCGUAGCUGGUCUGAGAGGAUGAUCAGCCACACUGGAACUGAGACACGGUCCAGACUCCUACGGGAGGCAGCAGUGGGGAAUAUUGGACAAUGGGCGCAAGCCUGACCCAGCCAUACCGCGUGGGUGAAGAAGGCCUUCGGGUUGUAAAGCCCUUUUGUUGGGAAAGAAAAGCAGCAGGUUAAUACCCCGCUGUUCUGACGGUACCCAAAGAAUAAGCCCGGCUAACUUCGUG